AUUGAACGCUGGCGGCAGGCCUAACACAUGCAAGUCGAGCGGAUGAAGGGAGCUUGCUCCUGGAUUCAGCGGCGGACGGGUGAGUAAUGCCUAGGAAUCUGCCUGGUAGUGGGGGAUAACGUCCGGACACGGGCGCUAAUACCGCAUACGUCCUGAGGGAGAAAGGGGGGGAUCUUCGGACCUCACGCUAUCAGAUGAGCCUAGGUCGGAUUAGCUAGUUGGUGGGGUAAAGGCCUACCAAGGCGACGAUCCGUAACUGGUCUGAGAGGGUGAUCAGUCACACUGGAACUGAGACACGGUCCAGACUCCUACGGGAGGCAGCAGUGGGGAAUAUUGGACAAUGGGCGAAAGCCUGAUCCAGCCAUGCCGCGUGUGUGAAGAAGGUCUUCGGAUUGUAAAGCACUUUAAGUUGGGAGGAAGGGCAGUAAGUUAAUACCUUGCUGUUUUGACGUUACCAACAGAAUAAGCACCGGCUAACUUCGUG
rnacentral:rRNA from 1 species